rnacentral:rRNA from 1 species
GAUGAACGCUGGCGGCGUGCUUAACACAUGCAAGUCGAACGGUGAACGAGGGAGCUUGCUCCCUCCGGAUCAGUGGCGAACGGGUGAGUAACACGUGAGCAAUCUGCCCUGGACUCUGGGAUAAGCGUUGGAAACGACGUCUAAUACCGGAUACGAGACGCGAAGGCAUCUUCAGCGUCUAGAAAGAACUUCGGUCCAGGAUGAGCUCGCGGCCUAUCAGGUAGUUGGUGAGGAACGGCUCACCAAGCCUACGACGGGUAGCCGGCCUGAGAGGGUGACCGGCCACACUGGGACUGAGACACGGCCCAGACUCCUACGGGAGGCAGCAGUGGGGAAUAUUGCACAAUGGGCGCAAGCCUGAUGCAGCAACGCCGCGUGAGGGACGACGGCCUUCGGGUUGUAAACCUCUUUUAGCAGGGAAGAAGCGAAAGUGACGGUACCUGCAGAAAAAGCACCGGCUAACUACGUGCCAGCCGCCGCGGUAAAAC